rfam:Erwinia mallotivora strain BT-MARDI contig_60, whole genome shotgun sequence.
GGCCCCUUAGCUCAGUUGGUUAGAGCACGCGACUCAUAAUCGCUUGGUCGCUGGUUCAAGUCCAGCAGGGGCCA